rnacentral:rRNA from 1 species
AGUGAACGCUGGCGGUAGGCCUAACACAUGCAAGUCGAACGGCAGCACAGUAAGAGCUUGCUCUUACGGGUGGCGAGUGGCGGACGGGUGAGGAAUACAUCGGAAUCUACUUUUUCGUGGGGGAUAACGUAGGGAAACUUACGCUAAUACCGCAUACGACCUACGGGUGAAAGCAGGGGAUCUUCGGACCUUGCGCGAUUGAAUGAGCCGAUGUCGGAUUAGCUAGUUGGCGGGGUAAAGGCCCGCCAAGGCGACGAUCCGUAGCUGGUCUGAGAGGAUGAUCAGCCACACUGGAACUGAGACACGGUCCAGACUCCUAAGGGAGGCAGCAGUGGGGAAUAUUGGACAAUGGGCGCAAGCCUGAUCCAGCCAUACCGCGUGGGUGAAGAAGGCCUUCGGGUUGUAAAGCCCUUUUGUUGGGAAAGAAAAGCAGCAGGUUAAUACCCCGCUGUUCUGACGGUACCCAAAGAAUAAGCACCGGCUAACUUCGUG